AUAAACUGAAGAGAAUUCCUCCAUUUGUUCCCCUUGUUGGGAAUGGGCAGCCAUUUGCAUAUGCUCCACCUUCUCUUACCAUCAGGUCAAGCACAGAAUGGUGGGAAUCGUUGGAGUGGGAUGACCAUCCAAACUUUGAAAAUGUUCUCAAGCAUGAAAGGAGUUCUUGGUGAUGUUGUUGUAGAGAAAGAUGAAAGUGUAGGUGGGAAAGAAGGAUAGUGCAAAAGAGAGGAGAAAAGGAAUGAUGGAAGGAAGAGGUUAAGAGGCUCCACAUUGUAAACAUAUAAAUUUGCUUAAUAUUUUUCUAUGUUUGUUUUGAAAGAAUGAGUAUUGAAUAUAGAUAAUAUAGAGAAAUUUUGUAGGGUUUAAAAAUAAUUAUCCCUAAUUUUCUCA